rnacentral:snRNA from 1 species
GGAUGUGAGGUCGAUCUGGCUGUGACAUCCGUCACCCCAUUGGUCGCCAGGGUUGACUCGGCUGGUCUGGCUGACUGAGUGGGUGUCUCCUUCCUCCCUCACUGCUCCAUGUGCGUCCCUCCGGAAGCUGUGUACUUGGUCAGAGAGGACCCCCUUCCCCGAAUAGAGACGACUGGUCUUCAGUAGAGGGUAUAUGAGUAGCUGUGCUCCCCUACUAGAAAGAACCUCCAAACAAGCUCUCAGGUCUGUGAAUGACUACUAGAAAGAGACUCCAAACAAGCUCUCAGGUCUGUGAAUGCAUCAAAUUUAAGGUUCUUUGCUAUGUUU